CACAGACCCCGCCCCCAAACCCAAACCUGACAAACCUGCUGUGAAACCAGGAACAGGUGGAGGAGCUUUUGAUGACUCAGCCUUAUCUGAUGCUGCGGAAGAAAUCAAUCCAGGCGGUCUACCCGAUGACCCUCCUCCCUACCAUCCAAACAGUACGUUUUUUUUUUUCUAGCUAAGCCCCUAAUGUCCUAAAUCCUAGAAACUCCCUAAAAUGAGAGAAAUGUCUAAAAUCAUUGAAAUGUCCUAAAAUCCUUCAAAUGUCUUUCAAUUUCUAGAUAUGUCGUAAUCCUAAAAACAAUCUAGAAGUGUUCUAAAAUCCUAAAAAUGUGCUGAAAUCCUGGAAAUGUCCUUAAAUCUUAGAAA